rnacentral:rRNA from 1 species
GCAUAUCAAUAAGCGGAGGAAAAGAAACUAACAAGGAUUCCCCUAGUAACGGCGAGUGAAGAGGGAAGAGCUCAAAUUUUAAAUCUAUCAUGUUGUACAUGAUCGAGUUGUAAUUUGAAGAAGCGUUUUCUCGUACUUUAUGAUCAGUAUAAGUUCUCUUGGAACAGGACAUCAUAGAGGGUGAUAAUCCCGUCUGUUACUGAUUGUGAGGUUCGUUUAUGAUACGCUUUCAAAGAGUCGAGUUGUUUGGGAUUGCAGCUCCAAAUGGGUGGUAAACAUCACCUAAGGCUAAAUAUUUGCGAGAGACCGAUAGCGAACAAGUACCGUGAGGGAAAGAUGAAAAGAACUUUGAAAAGAGAGUUAAAAAGUAUGUGAAAUUGUUGAAAGGGAAACGAUUGAAGUCAGUCGUGCAGUCAUCAAUUCAGCGGUUAACAUUUUAUGUUUCCGUGUAAUUUGGUGUCUGUUGGUUAGCAUCAAUUUUGAUUGUUAUAAAAAGGUUAAGGGGAUGUGGCUCCUUCGGGAGUGUUAUAACCCUUAGCGUAAUGUGACGAUUAGGAUUGAGGUUUGCAACGAAUACCUUUUAGGACAGUUUCACCUGGCCUCUCGUGGAAUUAUAGAUAGUUAAGAGCAUGCUCUUACUGUCUAUGAUUCUACGAAAAGGUUGGAGUGUAAAACUAAUUCGUUAAGGAUGUUGACGUA